GACGAACGCUGGCGGCGUGCUUAACACAUGCAAGUCGAACGGGCCUGCCUGGCUUUGGUUGGGUGGGUGAGUGGCGAACGGGUGAGUAACACGUGAGUAACCUGCCCUCUUCUCUUGGAUAACUGCUUGAAAGGGCGGCUAAUACGGGAUGUUCUGGCUGCCUCGCAUGGGGUGGUUUGAAAAGAUUCGGCCUGGUUUUGGUUGUUUUGGUGGGGGAUGGGCUCGCGGCUUAUCAGCUUGUUGGUGGGGUGAUGGCCUACCAAGGCGGUGACGGGUAGCCGGCCUGAGAGGGUGGACGGUCACACUGGGACUGAGACACGGCCCAGACUCCUCGGGAGGCAGCAGUGGGGGAUUUUGCACAAUGGGCGCAAGCCUGAUGCAGCGACGCCGCGUGAGGGAUGGAGGCCUUCGGGUUGUGAACCUCUGUCGCCGGUGAUGUAGG
rnacentral:rRNA from 1 species